rnacentral:rRNA from 1 species
UACAGAGGGUGCGAGCGUUAAUCGGAAUUACUGGGCGUAAAGCGUGCGUAGACGGCUAUCUAAGUCGGGUGUGAAAGCCCCGGGCUCAACCUGGGAAUUGCAUUCGAGACUGAAUAGCUAGGGUACGGUAGAGGGAAGCGGAAUUUCCGGUGUAGCGGUGAAAUGCGUAGAUAUCGGAAGGAACAUCAGUGGCGAAAGCGGCUUCCUGGACCAGUACCGACGUUCAGGCACGAAAGCGUGGGGAGCAAACAGAA